CAGGUAGACAGAUGUUUUCCAAGGAAGUACCUGGAUAUUCUCAUACUCCAUCUGUUUGAAUGCAUUGUGAUGCACAUAAAUUUAACCAUUCUGUUAGAAGUACCUAAACAUUGGAGAGUGACCUGCCUCCCCAGUCCAGGCAGGAAGGAGAGAUGCUUGCUGCUAUCAGUUUAUUUCAAAAGCUCAGGAGUUACUAAUCAUCCUGUCCUUUGUCACUGAUUAUUGACUCAUAAGAACCAGGCUUGGCUAAUAGAAAAUUGCUGUAAAUACUACAAGAGCACAAGGAUGGAUUUAUUUAGUCAGAAAAACCAUCGCUCAUCAGACUUGAAGAAGAGGAAAGGCAGUGGUCAAGUCCAAUUGACAAAAUGUGGUUAAGUGAAUUGUCACAUCUGCAUUCAUUAGCAAAAUUAUUUAGGGGGGUGCAAAAGCGUUCACACCCAGUUCUGGUUUCCACAGGUCAUUGGGUGCCUGUUGCUUAGAAAGGCUCUGACAAGGCAGGCAUGCCAACCUGAUAAUGACUGCUGUGAAGAGCAUAAGAAGUUUCCCUUUGCUUCAAUUCUUUGGAGUCACAGAAGAGACACAGAUAAAGGUUUCCCAGCUGGAAGAAAGUUUGUUGACUAAGUUAAACAACAGACAUGAAAAAAGUAAAGGAAGAAAUAUCCCCAUAUUCUACUGAAUUUCUUAAAUUCCAUUGCAGGAUGAAAUGAGCAAACACACAAAUGAAAUUCAACUUGAAAUCUUUUGUUGGAUUUUGUUUUAAAACGUUCUGUGUAAAGAUUCAAUGGGUAUUUUAACUCAAUCCCUAAACUCCUUUUGGAUGAACCUCUGUUUAUAAGAUCCAGACAUUUUACUGGCAGAAAUGUUUGGUUGGUGUUAGAAGACUUCAAGCUUGGAUUCCCCAGAUUAUUUCAUUCACCUAUGUCAGCCAAAAUGCCAGUGAAACAAUUUGGGCAUGCAGAACUGAACUGGGAAGCUUUUGAAUUGUUGCUCCAUCAUUCACAAACUGAAGCUCAUGAUAUAUUUCCUUCUUUUUCACAUGCAGUAGAAAUUGUCUGCAGUUUCCAUGAUAUUGAAUAAAAAUUAUUUUGCUGUCA
rnacentral:lncRNA from 1 species